CACGUAGGGGCAAGCGUUGUCCGGAUUCAUUGGGCGUAAAGAGCUCGUAGGCGGUUCGAUAAAUCGGGUGUGAAACCUCCAGGCUCAACCUGGAGACGCCACCCGAUACUGUCGUGACUAGAGUCCAGUAGGGGAGUGUGGAAUUCCUGGUGUAGCGGUGAAAUGCGCAGAUAUCAGGAGGAACACCAGUGGCGAAGGCGGCACUCUGGGCUGGCACUGACGCUGAGGAGCGAAAGCGUGGGGAGCGAACAGG
rnacentral:rRNA from 1 species